rnacentral:rRNA from 1 species
AUGCUAGCGAUAUUACCCGCAGCCAUCGCAUUGCUGCUCAUGUACUUUGUCGACGUCGACAGUGCUCAUCGGCGGUACAACAAGAAGUUCCUUGAUGCCUUCGCUGUCAUGGCCGUGUCUGUUGCCGGGUACCUGAUGGUUGUCAUAAUCUUUGACCAAGUAUUCGUGAUAAGUUUACCUGGACAGAAUGUUUGCUUCAUGAUACUCCUGCUGUUGAUCAUGUCUCCAGCAGUUAUUGUUGUAAGAGCUCACAAGACGGAAUCGAAACAACGAGAAGAGCCAGCUCUAGCACUGCGCUUGUGGUAUCUGGUCAGGACAAUGUUGUCACACAAAGAAAACCUGAAUCUGGUGCAGGCCAUGUGUAAACUCGACUUCUGGCACGGUGAACAACUUCAGACAAAAGGGGAUCCUUUGGCUACACGAGCAGAGAGACGAGCACCCUGGUGUCGCUCUGGAGCAUCUGGAACUUCUCAGGGAGGUUCGGCGCAGCAUCUCCGAUCACUUCCUCCAGUUGCGAGGAGUGGGCAGGCCUUUCUUCAUAGGAGCGACGCUUCUAGUCAUGAAUGUAGGCGACGCCAUCAUCUCCUCCGGUUUCCAUGCGUCGGUCUACAUGGGCUCCGGGUUCCAGAGGCGCUUAUAUGA